rnacentral:misc_RNA from 1 species
GAUGAAGAACGUAGCGAAAUGCGAUACGUAAUGUGAAUUGCAGAAUUCAGUGAAUCAUCGAGUCUUUGAACGCACAUUGCGCCCCCUGGUAUUCCGGGGGGCAUGCCUGUCCGAGCGUCAUUGCUGCCCUCAAGCACGGCUUGUGUGUUGGGCCUCCGCCCCCCGGCUCCCGGGGGGCGGGCCCGAAAGGCAGCGGCGGCACCGCGUCCGGUCCUCGAGCGUAUGGGGCUUCGUCACCCGCUCCGUAGGCCCGGCCGGCGCCCGCCGGCGACCCCCCUCAAUCUUUCCAGGUUGACCUCGGAUCAGGUAGGGAUACCCGCUGAACUUAAGCAUAUCAAUAAGCGGGGA